AAAAAAAUAGUUUAAUUAAAACGUAUAGUUUGAAACUAUAAAAUUCUACCAGAUUUUUUUG
rnacentral:tRNA from 2 species